rnacentral:rRNA from 1 species
GAUGAACGCUGGCGGCGUGCCUAAUACAUGCAAGUCGAGCGAACGGACGAGAAGCUUGCUUCUCUGAUGUUAGCGGCGGACAGGUGAGUAACACGUGGAUAACCUACCUAUAAGACUGGGAUAACUUCGGGAAACCGGAGCUAAUACCGGAUAAUAUUUUGAACCGCAUGGUUCAAAAGUGAAAGACGGUCUUGCUGUCACUUAUAGAUGGAUCCGCGCUGCAUUAGCUAGUUGGUAAGGUAACGGCUUACCAAGGCAACGAUGCAUAGCCGACCUGAGAGGGUGAUCGGCCACACUGGAACUGAGACACGGUCCAGACUCCUACGGGAGGCAGCAGUAGGGAAUCUUCCGCAAAGGGCGAAAGCCUGACGGAGCAACGCCGCGUGAGUGAUGAAGGUCUUCGGAUCGUAAAACUCUGUUAUUAGGGAAGAACAUAUGUGUAAGUAACUGUGCACAUCUUGACGGUACCUAAUCAGAAAGCCACGGCUAACUACGUG